rnacentral:rRNA from 1 species
CUACGGGGUGCUGCAGGCGCGAAACCUUUACAAUGCACGAAAGUGUGAUAAGGGAAUCCCAAGUGCUUUACUUUUAGUAAGGCUUUUGCCAAGAGUAAAUAUCUUGGCGAAUAAGUGGUGGGUAAGACUUGUGCCAGCCGCCGCGGUAACACCAGCGCCACAAGUGUGUAACCACAAUUAUUGGGCCUAAAGCGUCCGUAGCCGGCUUGGUAAAUUUUCUGUGAAAUCGUUAGGCUUAACUUAACGACGCGCAGGAAACACUGCUAAGCUUGAGACCGGGAGGCGUCAGAGGUAUUCCUGAGGGAGCGGUAAAAUGCUAUAAUCUCAGGAGGACCCCCUGUGGCGAAGGCGUCUGACGAGAACGGUUCUGACGGUGAGGGACGAAAGCUAGGGGAGCGAACCGGAUUAGAUACCCGCGUAGUC